GAUGAAGAACGUAGCGAAAUGCGAUACGUAAUGUGAAUUGCAGAAUUCAGUGAAUCAUCGAAUCUUUGAACGCAUAUUGCGCUCUCUGGUAUUCCGGAGAGCAUGCUUGUUUGAGUAUCAGUAAACACCUCAACUUCCAUAUCUUUUUUGAAAUGGGAGUUGGACUUGAGUGAUCCCAACGCUUUUCCUCACCGAAAAGUGGCGGGUUACUUGAAAUGCAGGUGCAGCUGGACUUUUCUCUGAGCUAUAAGCAUAUCUAUUUAGUCUGCCUAAAAAACAGAUUAUUACCUUUGCUGCAGCUAACAUAAAGGAGAUUAGUUCUUGUGCUGACUGAUGCAGGAUACACAAAGACAGGCUUCGGCCGACUUUGUAAACUCGAUCUCAAAUCAAGUAAGACUACCCGCUGAACUUAAGCAUAUCAAUAAGCGGAGGA
rnacentral:misc_RNA from 1 species